rnacentral:rRNA from 1 species
GGACUACUGGGGUAUCUAAUCCUGUUUGCUCCCCUAGCUUUCGCAGUUGAGUGUCAGUAAUGGUCCAGGUACCUGCUUUCGCCAUCGGUGUUCCUCCCGAUAUCUGCGCAUUUCACCGCUACACCGGGAAUUCCAGUACCCUCUCCCACACUCAAGUCUGGCAGUUUCUGUUGACCUCUCUCAGUUAAGCCGAGAGCUUUCACAACAGACUUACCGAACCACCUACCUGCCCUUUACGCCUAGUAAUUCCGAGUAACGCUUGCCACCUUCGUAUUACCGCGGCGGCUGGCAC